GAUUAAGCCAUGCAUGUCUAAGUAUAAGCAAUUAUACCGCGAAACUGCGAAUGGCUCAUUAUAUAAGUUAUCGUUUAUUUGAUAGUACCUUACUACUUGGAUAACCGUGGUAAUUCUAGAGCUAAUACAUGCUAAAAAUCCCGACUUCGGAAGGGAUGUAUUUAUUAGAUUAAAAACCAAUGCCCUUCGGGGCUCACUGGUGAUUCAUGAUAACUCCUCGAAUCGCAUGGCCUUGUGCCGGCGAUGGUUCAUUCAAAUUUCUUCCCUAUCAACUUUCGAUGUUUGGGUAUUGGCCAAACAUGGUUGCAACGGGUAACGGGGAA
rnacentral:rRNA from 1 species